GACGAACGCUGGCGGCGUGCCUAAUACAUGCAAGUAGAACGCAGUUGCGCACAGGGGAGAAACGCGUAGGUAAAUGCCUCAUAGCGGGGGAUAAAUAUUGGAAACCGUAGCUAAUAACGCAAACUGGGAGAUGGACCUGCGUUGUAUUAGCUAGUUGGGGCGGGAAAGGCUCACCAAGGCGACGAUACAUAGCCGGGCUGAGAGGGUGAUCCGCCACACUGGGACCGAGACACGGGCCAGACUCCUACGGGAGGCAGCAGGAGGGAAUUAUCGGAAAAUGAGGGCAGUCUGACCGAGCAACGGCGCGUGAGUGAAGAAAGGUUUCGGAGUGGAAAGGUAUUUUGUGAGGGAAGCGUUAACCAACCAGAAAGGGACGGCUAACUCCGUGCCAGCAGCCGCGGUAAUAC
rnacentral:rRNA from 1 species